rnacentral:rRNA from 1 species
GAUGAACGCUAGCGGCAGGCCUAACACAUGCAAGUCGAGGGGCAGCACAGAAAUUCAGCAAUGAGUUUUGGUGGCGACCGGCAGACGGGUGCGUAAUACAUCGGAACGUACCCAGUCGUGGGGGAUAACGUAGCGAAAGUUACGCUAAUACCGCAUACGUCCUGAGGGAGAAAGCGGGGGACCGUAAGGCCUCGCGCGAUUGGAGCGGCCGAUGGCGGAUUAGCUGGUUGGUGGGGUAAAGGCCUACCAAGGCGACGAUCCGUAGCGGGUCUGCAAGGACGGCCCGCAACACUGGAACUGAGACACGGUCCAGACUCCUACGGGAGGCAGCAGUGGGUAAUUUUGGACAAUGGGCGAAAGCCUGAUCCAGCCAUUCCGCGUGAGUGAAGAAGGCCUUCGGGUUGUAAAGCUCUUUCGGCAGGGAAGAAACGGCUUGGGAUAAUACCCCGGGCUAAUGACGGUACCUGAAGAAGAAGCACCGGCUAACUACGUGCCAGCCGCCGCCGUAA